UACGAAGGGGGCUAGCGUUGCUCGGAAUUACUGGGCGUAAAGGGUGCGUAGGCGGGUCUUUAAGUCAGGGGUGAAAUCCUGGAGCUCAACUCCAGAACUGCCUUUGAUACUGAGGAUCUUGAGUUCGGGAGAGGUGAGUGGAACUGCGAGUGUAGAGGUGAAAUUCGUAGAUAUUCGCAAGAACACCAGUGGCGAAGGCGGCUCACUGGCCCGAUACUGACGCUGAGACGACGAAAGCGGUGGGGAGCAAACAGGG
rnacentral:rRNA from 1 species